AGCAGUGUAGCCUAGUGGAAAGAGCAUGGGCCUAUAAGUCAGAGGGCCUGAGUUCUAGUCUCCGCUCUGCUA
rnacentral:tRNA from 1 species